rnacentral:rRNA from 1 species
UACGUAGGGUGCGAGCGUUAAUCGGAAUUACUGGGCGUAAAGCGUGCGCAGGCGGUUAUAUAAGACAGAUGUGAAAUCCCCGGGCUCAACCUGGGGCCUGCAUUUGUGACUGGAUAGCUAGAGUGCGGCAGAGGGGGAUGGAAUUCCGCGUGUAGCAGUGAAAUGCGUAGAUAUGCGGAGGAACACCGAGGGCGAAGGCAAUCCCCUGGGCCUGCACUGACGCUCAUGCACGAAAGCGUGGGGAGCAAACAGGAUUAGAUACCCUGGUAGUCCACGCCCUAAACGAUGUCAACUGGUUGUUGGGUCUUCACUGACUCAGUAACGAAGCUAACGCGUGAAGUUGACCGCCUGGGGAGUACGGCCGCAAGGUUG